rnacentral:rRNA from 1 species
GAACGAUGAUCCGGUGCUUGCACCGGGGAUUAGUGGCGAACGGGUGAGUAACACGUGAGUAACCUGCCCUUAACUCUGGGAUAAGCCUGGGAAACUGGGUCUAAUACCGGAUAUGACUCCUCAUCGCAUGGUGGGGGGUGGAAAGCUUUUGUGGUUUUGGAUGGACUCGCGGCCUAUCAGCUUGUUGGUGAGGUAAUGGCUCACCAAGGCGACGACGGGUAGCCGGCCUGAGAGGGUGACCGGCCACACUGGGACUGAGACACGGCCCAGACUCCUACGGGAGGCAGCAGUGGGGAAUAUUGCACAAUGGGCGGAAGCCUGAUGCAGCGACGCCGCGUGAGGGAUGACGGCCUUCGGGUUGUAAACCUCUUUCAGUAGGGAAGAAGCGAAAGUGACGGUACCUGCAGAAGAAGCGCCGGCUAACUACGUGCCAGCAGCCGCGGUAAUACGUAGGGCGCAAGCGUUAUCCGGAAUUAUUGGGCGUAAAGAGCUCGUAGGCGGUUUGUCGCGUCUGCCGUGAAAGUCCGGGGCUCAACUCCGGAUCUGCGGUGGGUACGGGCAGACUAGAGUGAUGUAGGGGAGACUGGAAUUCCUGGUGUAGCGGUGAAAUGCGCAGAUAUCAGGAGGAACACCGAUGGCGAAGGCAGGUCUCUGGGCAUUAACUGACGCUGAGGAGCGAAAGCAUGGGGAGCGAACAGGAUUAGAUANCCUGGUAGUCCAUGCCGCAAACGUUGGGCACUAGGUGUGGGGGACAUUCCACGUUUUCCGCGCCGUAGCUAACGCAUUAAGUGCCCCGCCUGGGGA